CCUACGGGGGGCUGCAGUGAGGAAUAUUGGUCAAUGGACGGAAGUCUGAACCAGCCAUGCCGCGUGCAGGAAGACGGCUCUAUGAGUUGUAAACUGCUUUUGUACAAGGGUAAACCUGAAUACGUGUAUUCAGCUGAAUGUACUGUACGAAUAAGGAUCGGCUAACUCCGUGCCAGUAGCCGCGGUAAUAAGGAGGAUCCAAGCGUUAUCCGGAUUUAUUGGGUUUAAAGGGUGCGUAGGCGGAUUGAUAAGUUAGAGGUGAAAUGUCCGAGCGUAACUCGGGAACUGCCUCUAAUAGUGUUGAUCUAGAGAGUAGAUGUGGUAGGCAGAAUGUAUGGUGUAGCGGUGAAAUGCUUAGAGAUCA
rnacentral:rRNA from 1 species